rfam:Triticum aestivum genome assembly, contig: Triticum_aestivum_CS42_TGACv1_scaffold_486975_6AS
UGAGUAUUUUCUCCGUUCGAAAAAACUUGUCCCAAACUCGUCUCUUAAAUGGAUGUAUCUAGCAUUAACUUGAUGCUAGAUACAUCCAUUUGAGAAACAAACUUUUCCGGACGGAGGAAGUAUGUG